rnacentral:rRNA from 1 species
UGGGGAAUUUUGGACAAUGGGCGAAAGCCUGAUCCAGCAAUGCCGCGUGUGUGAAGAAGGCCUUCGGGUUGUAAAGCACUUUUGUCCGGAAAGAAAUCCUUGGCUCUAAUACAGUCGGGGGAUGACGGUACCGGAAGAAUAAGCACCGGCUAACUACGUGCCAGCAGCCGCGGUAAUACGUAGGGUGCAAGCGUUAAUCGGAAUUACUGGGCGUAAAGCGUGCGCAGGCGGUUUGCUAAGACCGAUGUGAAAUCCCCGGGCUCAACCUGGGAACUGCAUUGGUGACUGGCAGGCUAGAGUAUGGCAGAGGGGGGUAGAAUUCCACGUGUAGCAGUGAAAUGCGUAGAGAUGUGGAGGAAUACCGAUGGCGAAGGCAGCCCCCUGGGCCAAUACUGACGCUCAUGCACGAAAGCGUGGGGAGCAAACAGGAUUAGAUACCCUGGUAGUCCACGCCCUAAACGAUGUCAACUAGUUGUUGGGGAUUCAUUUCCUUAGUAACGUAGCUAACGCGUGAAGUUGACCGCCUGGGGGAGUACGGCCGCAAGGCUAAAACUCAAAUGAAUUGACGGGGUCAUAGCUGUUUCCU